CUUUAAAAGAGAGAUUUGAAAUUUCCUGGACAAAGAAUUAAGAACAUUCCACUUGCUCAGGUUUAUAUUUCAGCUGAAAUCAUAUCUAGAGAAAAUACCUGGGCCUGACCUAAGUUACACAUGCACUUGCUUCCUUGCCAGAUCAUUUGUAAUGAAUGUUGUGGAGAGCUGUCUUUGAAUGACAGUAUUCUCUUCUGUAAGCACUACCCUUUCUUGCAACACCCCUCUUCUGAAACCCGGAAGUGUUGUUAGUAUUUCUGUGAGCUAAGUGAAACAAGUAUCAAAGUUCAACAACUGGGCGUGAGAAGGAACUUAAAGCUGCUACAGAUUGGUAACGUUUCCCCUAAUAGCUUCUCAAAACAGGCGAUUUCUACUUACAUUUGUGAAAGGAAGGAAGUGGUGUGGGGAACAUGGACAGAGAGCAUUUCUUUACCAGAAGCAGUUGCAGAUGAAGCCUCUCCUCAAGAUCCAGCUCUGUGAUGAACAGUUCCCUGACAAAGUUAUGGAUAUUUUCUGCCUUCCUUGGUGCCAGCUCUGUGUUAUGCAUGCUGCUUUUAUUCCUGCCCAGAUCUCUUGACUGCCUAUCAGUUGAGCCAACUGCAAGUGUAGAAUUCAGAGGAGGCUCAAAAUAUUUUGAUGAAGGACACUGAAAAUCUAUAUGUUGUCUUGUUGCCUCGUUAAAAAAAUACAAUAUAUAUUCGAUAGUUUGCUGCUAAUUAACUGAACCGCACACUAAUCAGGGUUGAAAUCCAGCAAGUUCUGACAGGCUCUGGAGAACCGGUUGCGGAAAUUUUGAGCAGUUUGGAGAACCGGCAAAUACCACCUCUGGGUGGCCCCAGAAAGGGGUAGGAAUAGAGUUUUUGCAAUAUCCUUCCCCCAGGAUGGGGAGGGAAUGGGGAUUUUGCAAUAUCCUUCCCCUGGAGUGGGGUGGGAAUGGAGAUUUUGCAAUAUCUUUCCCCUGUCAUGUCCACCAAGCCACACCACGCCCACAGAACCAGUAGUAAAAAAAUUUGGAUUUCACCACUGUCACACUUGCUGCUUUAAACAUAUCUUCUUGUCAAAAGGGUCAAGUUGAUUGUUAAGAUUUUGUUAUGUCCCCUGAGAAAUGUAUUCCUUUUAAAAUGUUUAUCUUUGUAAGAGAGUUUAAGGAAUUGGCCUUUCUUAAUGACAGUCACAUCACAAAACGAACCACAUUGGAACAUGUUGUAUUACUGUUAGGAGAUGGUUUUGGUGGAAUCAACCUUUUUGACAGUUUGCUGUGGACUUCUGCAUACCAGGAAGUGAAAUAGAUAUGGUAGAUAUGGAUAUAUUAAUUCACCAUUCACAUUUCCCAUCCCAUAUAAAAAACAAAUGUCUUCAUUUAUCCAAGAAGAUUCUAUGCAGAAUGUAAAAUUUGAAAAAGAAUUUUUUUUAAAUCAAUUUUUAUAAUUAGCAUCAUAGCAUGGUGCUAUGAUUCAAUCUGUUUGCAUUUGUGAAGUUUACGUUUUAUUAUUAAAAUCCGUGCAUUUCCUCUAGGAUUACCAACCAUUUCUGCUGCUGCUUUAUUUGAACGUUCAGAAUAAGAGUUAUGACCUGCAGUCAAACCAAGUUAGCAUUCAUAAUUCAGAGCAUGAGUAGAAUUGAUUAGAGUCAGAUUGGAAGACCCAUCUGCUCUCAGCAAUGGAUUUUAUAGAGAAUAACCGUGAACAGCUUAUUCAAAGAAUUGAGAUGGAAACCAUCAAGAAAAUUGUAGACUGUCUUUUUGCAAAAUCUGUUUUGUCACGUGAAGAAAAAGAUAGUAUCCUUUGCCAAAAAGUAAGGCAGGAUGCGUCAAGAAAAUUGACAUGCUCCAUUUUGGAAAAAGGUGAUGAAGCAUGUGGUAUUUUCGUGAGAUCACUGGAGAAAAUCGAUUUUUUCCUUUUUAAAAAACUACAGGGAAGCCAUACAGAUGGGCAAGUUACCCAACAAGAUGUUGAUUACUUAGCUCAGGAUUUAACUAACUUAUAUAGGAAUCCGUCCUUUGAACGUUUUCAUCCGCUGGGUGAAGAAAUUGAUAUCAUCUUCAAUUUGAAGAAUACCUAUACCGAUAUCUUGCUUUGGAAGAAAGAUAUCCAUAAUUCCCGCUUGGCGCAAAUGACUUUAAAUGCCCUUUUAGAUGAACUUGAAAGUCCCUGUAUCAUCGAGGGGGAAGCUGGGAAAGGAAAAACGACUCUCCUCAAAAAGAUUGCUUUACUCUGGGCUAAUGAAGAUCAUCCUUCUUUGAUGAGGUUUAAGCUUGUCUUCUUCAUCAGCCUGAGUGGGGUAGAGGCAGGACUAUAUGAGACCAUAUGUGAGCAGCUUCUUAAGAAGAACUAUAGAAUAUGUAAAGAAGACUUUAUGGAGAUACUAGAAUUGCUAGCAGAAAAAGUCCUUUUCCUUUUAGAUGGGUAUGAUGAAUUCAAGUCCCAGAGCUGCCCAGAAAUAGACGCGCUGAUAAAAGAAAGUCAUAAAUUCAAGAACACAGUUAUUGUUACUACAAGGACCGAGUCAAUUCGAAGACUGAGGCUGUUUGGGUCACUGAUUGCUGAGACAGGCGAUCUAACCGUGGAAAGCGCAAAAACACUAGUUAAAAAUGUUUUGAAAGAAGCCACAUUAGCUGAGGGCCUGCUGUCUCAAUUGGAGAGCUUGGAUUCCACUUUUCAGAAUUCAGGGACUCAGCUGGAGAACCUUAUGAGGACCCCUUUAUUUGUGAUUAUCGCUUGUGCCAUCCAAAUGGGAGAAUCCACUUUUACUCCACAUACACAAACCACUCUGUUCUCCACCCUGUACAAUUUGUUGGUAGGGAAAAACAAGCACAAGAUCAGAGGGACAAGUGACGAACAUUUUCGGCUCAGCCUAAUUCACUGUGGAAAUUUGGCUUUGGAUGGAAUCUUUGAGCAAAAAUUUGUUUUUCAUCCCGAGGAUUUUUCCAGUGUGAAAGAACAAGUGCUGUUAUCUAUGGGCCUUAUACACAAGUACACAGCUCAGAGACUAAAAGAAGCAUAUACAUUUUUUCACAAAUCUUUCCAAGAAUAUAUUGCAGGUAGAAGACUUUCCAGACUAUUGAGAUCCUAUAGAGAUGAGGAAGUAACCAGAGGAUUCAAUUAUCUCCGAAGGGUUAGCAGUUUCUCGGAUAUAAUUACUACUUAUCACAGUUUACUUUUGUAUACCUGCGGAUCGUCUUCUGAAGCCACCCAAAAAGUUAUCAGCCAUUUAUCAGCCAUUCAUCAGCAGAGUAGUCUUUUUGGAUUGCCUUUUGCUCGUGAUUUAUUUCCAGAAGAACUCAAGAAAUAUGAACGAAUUGCUGAAGAAGAAGAAGGCUUAAUAGCAACUCGGGAAAAUUCAUUUGUGGAGUGUGCUAUUAGAUUCCUUUAUGAAAGCAUCUCUGAAACAACUGUAAAGAAGGAGUUUGAGGAAUUUUUCCAUGAUAAAAAAUUGUACAUCAAUACCCAGAGCAUUCCUACCUAUGUCUCUGGAUUUUUUGACUACUUUUCUAAUUGUGUAAGUAUGUUAGAAGUCAUCAAAUUAGAUUUUUUUGGUACUUCAUCAGCUACAAGGACAGCAUGGAAAACUGUCAUCCCCGAAAAGGCAGUGUCCUUAUUCUUCAAUUGGGAUCGAAAGCUCAAAGGUUUAGAAAUCACCUUAAAAGAUUUCAAUCAAUUAGAAAAGGGUGAUAUUAAGUAUCUGGAAAAAAUAUGUUGCGCUGCCUCAAGUCUGAGACUGAUUAUCAACAAAUGUUCUGGCCUCACGGGAAAGUUGAGGGAAGUCCUCAAUAGCUGUACAAAUCUGCAGGAUCUUAUUGUAGAGUCCACACCUCUUAGCAUGGAAGAUGAGCAACAGAUAACCGAAAUGAUGGUACUGAAAACUAUAAAGAUAAAAGACCUGCAGAGUGAAAACCAGCAGGGGGGGCUUCUUGAUGGAAUAUCUACCCUUGCUAAUGUGGAAAAAAUUAUAUUUGAUAAUGUCAAGAUGAACGAGAACACUGCUGAAAAAUUAGCUGAAGGCUUAAAGAAUUUGAAAAAGUUGAAUUCAUUGCAAUUGAAAGAGCUUACAAAUGUUGGAGAUGGAAUGAUAAGUAUAGUAACAUCAAUAUCCUUAUAUCUUCAAGAACUAGAAGAAAUUUGUUUGGUUAACUGCUGCAUUUCUGCGACUGCUGUAGAAAUUCUAGGUAACGUCACUGUUUUGGUUAUUUUAAUCCACUUAUUCUAUUUAUAAGUUAUCCAGUAAUAAUAGAAUUCCUGGGGAUAUACCAAACUUCUAAAACAGAUGACAUUCUGAAUAGUAUUGCUUACAAUUCUAGAACAGAUUCCCCCUACCCCAAACUGUUACUCUCUAGAUAUUAACCGUCUUGUCCAGUGGUGGGUUUCAAAUUUUUUUACUACCGGUUCUAUGGGUGUGGCUUGGUGGGCGUGGCAUGGCUUGGUGGGCGUGGCAGGGGAAGGUUACUGCAAAAUCCCCAUUUCCUCCCGAUCAUCUGGGACUCGGGAGGCAGAGAAUAGAUGGGGGUAAGGCCAGUCAGCAUUUUUACUACCGGUUCUCCUAACUACUCAAAAUUUCCACUACCGGUUCUCUAGAACUGGUCAGAACCUGCUGAAACCCACCUCUGGUCUUGUUGGUUGUGAAUUUUCAGAAAGGAUAUGUCAGCCUCCACUCCACUCUUCAUUUAUUUUUAAAUGAUUAUAUCAGUAGAUAGAAUGUAAAAUGUUUAUUUCUGUAUUAUAAACUUUUAGGAUCAUGAGGUGAAUCAUACCACCGUCCGGGGUAAGGGAAAAGAGCUUAUUAUUAGUGUCGGCUGACAUAACUGGGAGGAGGGGUGAUUAAUGAUUGAAUGUUAUCAGCGCGCGCUUUCCUAACCGACACUGCAUUCCUGAGUUGACUGACAUCCAGAGACCUGUGGAAGAAGAUUACCACGAGGGGCCGUGAAGGAGUUGGCAUUGGACCAGACCAGCCUGACCUCCUGGAGGAGGAGGGACAAUUGGGGGGAUAUGAUAUGUUUGCCAUAUUUUGUCUCAGUUCCAGCUUUGCUUGGCUGCUAACCAGACUGUAAAAGUAAAAGUACUUGUUUCCAUACCAAAUGGAGUCAAGGUGAAUUCUUUCCUAUUUGCCGUCGGGGGUAGCCUGACAUUAAGCUGGAACUCACUCAUGUCUACCAACCAGGAUUGCAAUCGCAAUACCGGGGGGGAAGAAAACCCAAAUGUGAUGGAAGGACUGCCGCCGGCUGAGCUGGGGGAGGCGUCCGGAGGAAUUUUUGCUGACACUUUUAACCCCGAGCUGGAAGUUUGCAGAGCUCGGUGGAUUGAGCAAUUAAAGCUGGAAGAGGAAAGGUGGGAACCAAGUGCCGAAGAGUUUCAGCCUGGAGUAACAAAAAGAGAAAAAGAAGGGACGGUGAGACUUUCGGAUUGGCAGGGAGAGAGAGAGAUAACAGACAGACGCCAGCUGGAAGAAGCCUUUCGUCUUUUCCGUGAGGUGAAAGUAAGGCUAGCUGUUCGCCAAAGGACUGACGUCCUUGUUGCAGGAGGGCCGAAUGUCAGCCUCCACUCCACUCUUCAUUUAUUUUUAAAUGAUUAUAUCAGUAGAUAGAAUGUAAAAUGUUUAUUUCUGUAUUAUAAACUUUUAGGAUCAUGAGGUGAAUCAUACCACCGUCCGGGGUAAGGGAAAAGAGCUUAUUAUUAGUGUCGGCUGACAUAACUGGGAGGAGGGGUGAUUAAUGAUUGAAUGUUAUCAGCGCGCGCUUUCCUAACCGACACUGCAUUCCUGAGUUGACUGACAUCCAGAGACCUGUGGAAGAAGAUUACCACGAGGGGCCGUGAAGGAGUUGGCAUUGGACCAGACCAGCCUGACCUCCUGGAGGAGGAGGGACAAUUGGGGGGAUAUGAUAUGUUUGCCAUAUUUUGUCUCAGUUCCAGCUUUGCUUGGCUGCUAACCAGACUGUAAAAGUAAAAGUACUUGUUUCCAUACCAAAUGGAGUCAAGGUGAAUUCUUUCCUAUUUGCCGUCGGGGGUAGCCUGACAGGAUAGUAGGUUGAGGGAAUCUACACUGUAGAAUAAAAACAGUAUUUCAAAACAGAAUAACCUUAUAAUCAUUAUGCAGUUAAGACUGUUUAUCCCACUCUAGGACACUAGUGGCAGCUGUUAGGGGUGUCUGACACCAAGGUCAUAUUAGUUGCUAUUGGAUCCUGCAUGGUGGAAAUGCCACCUGAGCUUGCUGGUUUUCAAAACCUAUUCUGACUUUUCCCAAUCUAUAAAUCAGCCUUCUUCACUCUGGCAUCCUCAGUAUGUGUUGAAAUUACAGCUCUCAGGCUUUUUAACCAAGAUGAUCAACUGAAAAUGCUUCCUUUUUCUGGGGCCCUCCAGAUGCUAUUAAACUGUAACUUUCAGGAUCCUUUUAAGAAUAGAUUUGUUGGUCAGGAUUUCUGGGAAUUAAAAUUUCAGCAACAUCUGGAAAGCCAAAAAUCCCAUUCCUCUUUUAGCUAAAACCUUCUGUCUGUGAACUACCAGUUCAAGACAUAGUUUCUCAAAAGGGUGAUUCUAUAUCAUGUCUUGUUAUGUCAUUCAGACAUUUAUCUCUGUUUUCAUCUUCUGUCUUUCUUCCUCUAGAUCUUCCAGAAUCGGACCAUUUUCUUUACCCAUUUGUACCGUGUUUUCCCAAAAAUAAGCCCUACCCCAAAAAUAAGACCUCCCCCUAAAAUAAGACCUCCCCCCAAAAUAAGACCUCCCUGAAAAUAUUUAAAUGUGUGCGCAGCCGGUUCCCACAAUUUCCUCUGGUUAGGGUUAGGGAGACAGAGCUGGAAAUCAGGUAAGAUGGCAAGAGGAUCCCUGUGCCCAAAAUAAUAAUACCUCCCCAGAAAUAAAGCCAAGCACUUAUUUUGGGGUCCAAAAAAUAUAAGACAGGGUCUUAUUUUCAGGGAAACACGGUAUUUAAUUUAAUUUAAUUUAACCCCAUUAGACACUGAGCAGAUAAUAAAACCCAGAAAACAAUUAAAUAUGUAUAAUUUGACUGCUCUUAUUGCUGCUGUUAUUAUUAUUAUUAGCAAUUUAUCACAGUGGUCUUUUUAAGGAAGCACAGAUUAAUGGUCUUAUUUCAUACUCUUUUCCAUGCCUAUAAGCUAAUUCACUGUGUGCUUCUUAUUUUAUAGUUCAGAAUAUUUGCAAUUUACCCAAACUUUCUGCACUUGAUUUAUCCAACAAUUUUUUGGGAAAUGGAGGAAAAGAAGCUCUUUGUCAAUUAGUUGAAAGCUUAAAUGUCCUACCAAGGAUGAAAAUUCUGAUGUUCCCUUGGGUGGAU